GAAAUUUUGGUAAAGUUUUGCCUUUUUUCAAGAUUUUCGGCUACGUGUACUACCAUUUAUAACUUAUAACAAUGAUUUUUCUAUUAGUAGGCACCGCUCAUCCGAAAUUACUUUAUUACUCUUCCCUGGUAGACACCGAAUAUAAAGCUUCAGUCAAAAUUUUGUCAGGUCGAUGUUAGCACUAAGGAUCCAUAGAUUAAGUAACAGUAAGAAGUUUGUAAACUUAGCUGAAAUAAAUAUGUUCCAAAGCAAAGUUUUGUCAGUUGUUCAGUUACUUUGUUCUCUUUUACAUAAAAGCAAGUGGUGUGAAUUCUAGUUUUAAAACAAUUUCGGAAUUUUUUUUAUUAUAAUGCCUAAAAAUAUGUGCACUAAGAUAAGUGUAUGAAUUCGACCACACUCGAGCCUUUCCCUAGAAGGAGAUGGAGUGUUUUGCAAACCUUGCGGCAAACCGAUUUCAUGUACUAAAAAGUACUUUAUUGAUCAUCAUUGUGGAACGCCUCUUCAUAAAAGGAAUACUGAAAAGAAUAACUCGACUAGAUUGUUUCAAACUCCUCUGAGAUAAAGUUUAGGCUGUU